AUUGAACGCUGGCGGCAUGCUUUACACAUGCAAGUCGAACGGUAACAGGUUAAGCUGACGAGUGGCGAACGGGUGAGUAAUGCAUCGGAACGUGCCCGGUCGUGGGGGAUAACGCAGCGAAAGCUGCGCUAAUACCGCAUACGAUCUGAGGAUGAAAGCGGGGGACCGUAAGGCCUCGCGCGAUCGGAGCGGCCGAUGUCAGAUUAGGUAGUUGGUGGGGUAAAGGCUCACCAAGCCAACGAUCUGUAGCUGGUCUGAGAGGACGACCAGCCACACUGGGACUGAGACACGGCCCAGACUCCUACGGGAGGCAGCAGUGGGGAAUUUUGGACAAUGGGCGAAAGCCUGAUCCAGCAAUGCCGCGUGCAGGAAGAAGGCCUUCGGGUUGUAAACUGCUUUUGUACGGAGCGAAAAGGUCUCCUCUAAUACAGGGGGCUCAUGACGGUACCCGGAGAAGAAGCCCCGGCUAACUUCGUGCCAGCCGCCGCGGUAA
rnacentral:rRNA from 1 species